rnacentral:misc_RNA from 1 species
GAUGAAGAACGUAGCGAAAUGCGAUAAGUAAUGUGAAUUGCAGAAUUCCGUGAAUCAUCGAAUCUUUGAACGCACAUUGCGCCCCCUGGCAUUCCGGGGGGCAUGCCUGUCCGAGCGUCAUUUCUGCCCUCAAGCACGGCUUGUGUGUUGGGUGUGGUCCCCCGGGGACCUGCCCGAAAGGCAGCGGCGACGUCCGUCUGGUCCUCGAGCGUAUGGGGCUCUGUCACUCGCUCGGGAAGGACCUGCGGGGGUUGGUCACCACUAUAUUUUACCACGGUUGACCUCGGAUCAGGUAGGAGUUACCCGCUGAACUUAAGCAUAUCAAUAAGCGGAGGA